rnacentral:rRNA from 1 species
UACGUAGGUGGCGAGUGUUGUCCAGAUUUACUGGGCGUAAAGGGAGCGUAGGCGGACUUUUAAGUGAGAUGUGAAAUACCCGGGCUCAACUUGGGUGCUGCAUUUCAAACUGGAAGUCUAGAGUGCAGGAGAGGAGAAUGGAAUUCCUAGUGUAGCGGUGAAAUGCGUAGAGAUUAGGAAGAACACCAGUGGCGAAGGCGAUUCUCUGGACUGUAACUGACGCUGAGGCUCGAAAGCGUGGGGAGCAAACAGGAUUAGAUA